GAUCCCCUACGGGGGGCAGCAGUAGGGAAUCUUCGGCAAUGGGCGAAAGCCUGACCGAGCAACGCCGCGUGAAUGAAGAAGGCCUUCGGGUUGUAAAAUUCUGUUAUAAGGGAAGAAAGGUGAUAGGAGGAAAUGACUAUCAAUUGACGGUACCUUAUGAGAAAGCCACGGCUAACUACGUGCCAGCAGCCGCGGUAAUACGUAGGUGGCAAGCGUUGUCCGGAUUUACUGGGUGUAAAGGGCGUGUAGCCGGGUUGACAAGUCAGAUGUGAAAUCCUGCGGCUUAACCGCAGAAC
rnacentral:rRNA from 1 species